UACAGAGGUCCCAAGCGUUGUUCGGAUUCACUGGGCGUAAAGGGUGCGUAGGUGGUUGGGAAAGUUUGAUGUGAAAGCUCGGAGCUUAACUCCGAAAUGGCAUUGAAUACUUCUUAACUUGAGGGUCGGAGGGGAGACUGGAAUUCUCGGUGUAGCAGUGAAAUGCGUAGAUAUCGAGAGGAACACCAGUGGCGAAGGCGAGUCUCUGGACGACUCCUGACACUGAGGCACGAAAAGCUAAGGGGAGCAAACAGG
rnacentral:rRNA from 1 species